GUACAUUUAGCUAAUGCAUGUUUAAUCCAUCCAUCUUCCAUAAAAGUUUAUUCGGUACAGGGUGGUGGUGAACCUGGAACCUACCACAGGAAGCACAUGGGCAAAGAGAGGGAGAGGGAGAGAGAGGGGGACAGAAGGACGAAAACGGAGAAGAAGGGAAAUAGAGAGAGAGCGAGGGAAAAGAGAAAAAAAAAGAAGAAAGAAAACCACAGAUAAUCUGCUUCAAUACCUGCUGAUGAGAGAAAACAACAACCAACAUCUGUACGAGUGACAAUGAGCAUGUUAAGGAGCAACAGCCGAUCAAGACAGUGUGUGUCUUAGUGUGUGUGGGGAGCCACAGCCCCAUCCCUCAGGACAUGAAGCAGACACGGAGGAGGCCCGGACCCCAGACAGCCAGAGGCCCCCCAGGGCAUGGGAGCCCCCGGAGGACCACCGCAGGGAGAAUAGCAGCCCCUCACCCAGAAAAGGGCAGAGGAGAGCUCCGGAGGGAGGCCAUCCGGCAGCCACAGUGCAGGAGCCCCAGGGGGCCGUGGCGGCGAGCCCGCAGGCUCCACCGGCGGCCAGCCCCACCAGGGCAGACCAGGCCCUGGGCCCAGAGAUCCAAGGGCCCCCCCAGCAAGGGCCCGACAGAGCCAGGAGGGCCAGAUCCCGCCAGGCAACCGCCGAGGGCGAGCCAGCACCCACCCGAGCACCCAGCCCUGGACAUCGAGAACCACCAACGCACCAGUGGCCAGGGGCCCCAUCCACCAGCAGGGAGUGUGGCGGGGGGGGAAUAGAGCCCGAGAUGUUAUUUCAGGUGGAGUCUAGAACCCAACCUGACACAUGCAUAUAGACAAACAGGCACACACAUAUACAAGCAUACGUUCCCACCCUCAUGCACACAUAAACAAAUAUUUACACAUUCACCCAACAUAGAGACACACAGAAAUGAACGCUGUACACACACUCUCACUCCCCGUAUAUACUCUCUGUGGACCCCAUUUUUUUCCUCUGGCGAGGAAACCGGAAGACCACCCUGGACCCCGCAGCAGCCGAGAAGCGCACCAGCCCAGACCCCGACCAGACGGCCAGAUCAGUGACCUUUCAAAGUCAGAUCGUGGACUUUUAUCGUCGAGAUCAUGUAUGAUCUUCAACACAUCAGUGAUAAUUGGCCUGCACGCCGCAUUGGCCUUCACUAGAUCGUUGGCUUUGACGAUCUUCAUAAAGUACUCCGGAUCCAUACGAGCCAUGCGAAUCUACACAGGAAACAAAAAUGAGAGAAUUCCCAUGAGUUCCUUAGUGCUUUCUGUGAAUCUCUGGAGAUGAGCAAUUCCUAACAUUAAAGGUACAUUAGCUGAAGC